rnacentral:lncRNA from 1 species
CAGCCGCCACCCCGAGCGCCGCGCCGGACGGACGGGCGGGCAGGACAGGCGGGACGGCUCCGAGCGGGCGCGGCCACUCCGCGGGAGGCGCGGCGCCCCCCGGCCCGAGGUGAGCGGCCGCCCAGCGCUGAGGGGCGGCAAGAAGUUGUCAACGGGGGAAAUUCGCGUCCGGCGCUCACGCAGUCCCGAGCCCGCCGCGCUAGCUCCGAGGGGUCCGCCGGGCGCGGAGGAGCCGCCGCCGCCGCCGCCCCCGCCCGGCGCUGAGAAGAAAGUGCGCCCGCCCGCACGUCGCGGUCGCGCUCGCCCUCAGCUGCCGCGGCCGCCGCUCCCCAUUCACAGCC